AUGAGAGCUCUUUUACAAACUUGGGGGAAAGGCGAGGGGAGCGUUGUUGCUGCUGGUGCUGCAGCUGUCAAGAGGAAGAAAGGGAGAAGAAGGGAAGCCAAGGAGACAAAGGGCAGGGCGAGGCUUUGCGAGGAGGAAAAGGAAGAAAGGGGGGGGGGGGGAAGAGAGAGAGAGAGGUGGAGCCUGGAAUCCUUGGGGAAAAGCAGAAGGACACCAGGGAAAGUUGCGCCAGGAUUAUUUUUAUUAUUUCGUUUCCAUUCCGCCAAACGCCAGAGAAGGGAGAAGCAACCUAAGCCCAAGAAGAAGAAGAAAACCCCAACUUGGACCAGCAAGAGGGAGAAAUAACCCAUCCCAUCCAAGCUCAGAGGACAUAAUGGGUGACACAAUGCAUGGCUCAGGUGCUUCGGCAAAAAAAGGCAGACACACACCAUCAGAUUGCCUGGGAGUACUAUGGACUGAAACUUGACAACACUGAUCUAAUAAUGUAAGUGUCCUGGACUUGUUGCCCAUCCACCUUCAGAUGUUGAUGGCUUUUUCGUGUGACGAUCUCCUCAAAGCUGCCCCUCCUUCAUUUUUACCUACACACAAAACUCUGGCUUUCCAAGAAGCAAAAGAACAUUAUUGUUUUCUAGUGUGGUACAUUUAUCUUCUUUAUUUUCUCCUUACAGCUGCUUAUGCGCUUUGGUACUUGGCUUGCAUUUGAUCCUGAAGAAUUCCAAGUGACAGGUAAUGUAAACAUCCUACACUCUCAGCUGUGUAGAUAAGAAGAAAGCUGGGAGAAGGCUGUUUACUCUCUCUGUCUUGGAAAGCAGCUGAAAGAAGAAAAAAACAUGGGCGAUUUUGCAAGCUCUUUCUAGACUCCUGUUCUAAGCUGUAUUGAAAAUAUUAUUGUAUCUUUUAGAAAACUUUAAAAUAAGACAAAAAAUUGAAUGUGCAUUUUUAAACUAUGUUUAAAAGAUAGAGAUUUCCUUUUGACAUUAAGUCUAGUCGUGUCCGACUCUGGGGAAUGGCGGCUGAGGCUGUCCAAAACACCUGGAAGGCCAAAGUGAGCCCAUGCCUGCUAUAGGCCUUGUAAGACUACAGUUCUCGUGAUCACAUAGCAUUGCACCGUGUAGGUUAAAAUGCUGUCAAACCGCAUUAAUUCUACAAUUUUCCUAAAUGCUUUCCGAACUGUAUGACGCAAAACGUUAAAUGUGUCAGCUGCAAUUUGUAGGUGUGUCAUGCAAACAUAAUGAGAAAUCUCUUGAAAUAAAUCACAUAUUUUAAAUAUA